GGGUGCGAUCAUACCAGCACUAAUGCACCGGAUCCCAUCAGAACUCCGCAGUUAAGCGUGCUUGGGCGAGAGUAGUACUAGGAUGGGUGACCUCCUGGGAAGUCCUCGUGUUGCAACCC
rnacentral:rRNA from 1 species